GAGCCCCAUAGGGAAUGAGAUGCCUGCUUCCUGGAUGGUUCCCCUCUGGAGCCUCUCUCCGGGCCACGCGGACCGAGGGGUAGCAGUACAGAAAGAGCUUCUGCGUGCAAGUGGGGUACGCUGCCCUGUGUCCACCAGGGAGAGCACACCCUGGCCACACUGUUGGUUCAGGGACAUCAAGAGACCAAAAGAGAACAACAAAGGUGCAGGGCGUUUGCUAAGGGAUCCCUGGAAGAGAAAUCUUUUCACGGAGAAUGUCCUGGAGGGAGGGGAGUCUUCCCUCUCAGAGAGCCGCAGUGGGAGAGGGAAGGGAGCAGAGCUACGUGGACAGCUGGCCGGAAUCAGCAGGAAACCGAAAGAAGCUUAUGUUGGCCACAAUCCCAGACGAGUAUGUUUUUAGAAGGCGCUGACGUCCACCUCAGUCCAGCUGCCACUGGCACCAUUUCCCGCCUUCCUGCACAGUCCUGCAAAAUCCUGGGUACCCGGAAUAGCCACGCCCACCAACCAGUUCCACCCCGUCUCCCACAAAGCAAACGCACAGCAUUUUCUUUUGGUGGCCUCUGGUUCCAAACCCCACUGCCAAGUGAGAGCUCUUGGGCUCUGGGAGACAGAUUGAGCUUGAAAACUGCCCACAUAUACUGAGUAUAUAACAUUUGGGGAGGAUCUUUAAACAUUGUGAGUCUUUGAUUUAUCGUGUGAAAGUGGGAAUAAUAAACACCCACAUCACAGAUUUUUAAGUACUAAGCAAGAGAAUCCUCUUUGCAUCCUUCUAUGCUUCUUGCGACCUGUCUUCGCUUCUUCAAUUCUUCUUUUAUAAAAAUAUGCAAAUGUC
rnacentral:lncRNA from 1 species